AUAAAUGAUGUACAUUUGAUCGUAUAAUCUUAUUGUAUACACAAUAUAAUUAUAUACACAAAAUACUGUUCUUCACUCAGUUAAGGCUCAUAUCACUUUGGGGUUAUUUUUGCUUGUGUGCUUUCUUGGGGUCUUUUUGAGACAAGGUCUCGCCCUGUUGCCCAGACCUGGAGUGUGGUGGCUUGACCUCAGCUCACUGCAACCUCCGCCUCCCACCUCAGCCUCCUGAAUAGCUGUCUGCAGGCAUGCACCCCACACCUGGCUACCUUUUAGAAUUUUUGUACAGAUGAGGUUUUGUCAUAUUGCGCAGGCUGUUCCAAACUCCUGAGCCCGAGUGAUCCUCCAGCUUCAGUCUCCUACAGUGCUGGGAUUAGAGGGUGGUCCACCGCACUUCACCCACGCUGGUGUAUUUCUGUUCCUUUAUUUCUAACUCUGUCAGGCUGGAGUGCAGUGGCAUAAUAGCUCACUGCAAUCUCUGCCUCCCAGAUUCAAGCAAUUCUUCUGCCUCAGCCUUUUGAGUAGCUGGGAUUACACGUUACCAUGAGAGUAUAAUUUUUGCAUUUUUAGUAGAGACAGGGUUUCAUCAUGUUGUCCACGCUGGUCUCCAACUCUAGAUCUCAGGUGAUCCACCUUGGCCUCCUAAAGUGCUAAGAUUAUAAUCGUGAGCCACCGCACCAGACCUUCUGCUCAAAUUCUAUUGAGGAGCUUUUCCUGCCUGUGGUCUAUUCUGAAGAACGUGUGUAGGACUAUGUCCAUUCUGUGGCAUCUUAGAUUUCAUUUUGGAUGCUCUGAUUGGGUCUGUGUGUCCCUGUACCGGAACUCAAGUGAACACUGGGUGAAAAUCCAUUGCUGUUCUCUAGAAAUCCAGCCCAAUCUCCUGGUUAAAUACAAUGUAUGUCUAGCAAGCAUUGCUUUUUCUCUUUGGGGACUAAAUCAGGAGGAUUACUCCUUCAUGAUCAAGGCUGCCCUGCUGAGCCUUUGAAGGAAGGAACUAGAGAUGCUCCUUUUAGGGGUUUAUACUCUGGAUUCCAGAAACAGGCAAACAGGGCCAAUGAAUGCAUCAUUUCUGUGUGUCCGUUUUCACCUGGUCAGGGAAAAUGUCACAAAAAUCCCACGGUCCCGGAGCAGGAAGAUGUCACGCUGUGACCCUCUAAAGGGUGGUGCGUUCUGUUGUCUAAAAGAAAAGCAUCGAACGCGCCCCCCUUUAGGGGGUAACUGUGAGAAAAGCAAGGUGGAGGUGGAUGCUGAUCUUGGUAAGACGUUUGCAGAGCGUGCUUCUAAUCAGGCUUACGUGAGGUCGGGGUCUGUUUCUGCUUUUUUUCUAAGACGGGGUCUUUCUUGCCCAGGCUGGAGUGUGGUGACACUUCCAACCUCCAUCUUUUGGGUUCAACAGGUCCUUUUGUUUUUCUUUCUUGAGAGCGAAUCUGGUGGUGACACCCAGGCUGGAGUGCAAUGGUGCGAUAUCGGCUCACGGCAGCCUCCCCUUUCCGGGUUCAAGUGAUUUUUUAAUCUCGGCUUCCCGCGUAGCUGGGAUUACAGAGAGAAUCUGGUGGUGACACCCAGGCUGGAGUGCAAUGGUGUGAUAUCGGCUCACGGCAGCCUCCCCUUCCCGGGUUCAAGUGAUUGUUUGACCUCAGCGUCCCGCAUAGCUGGGAUUACAGAGAAACUGGCGGUGUCACCCAGGCUGGAGUGUAAUGGUGCGAUAUCGGCUCACGGCAGCCUCCCCUUUCCGGGUUCAAGUGAUUUUUUAACCUCGGCUUCCCGCGUAGCUGGGAUUACAGAUUCCAUUUCGGAUACUUCCAUUGGGACUCUGCAUCCCUGUGCUGGAACUCAAGUGAACACUUGGCUCAACAUCCAUUGCUCUUCUCUAGAAAUUCAGCCCAAUUCUUAUGGUUUCAUAUAAGGACUGUGUGUCCCUGUGCUGGAACUCAGGUGAUCGCUUGGCUCAACAUCCAUUGCUGUUCUCUAGAAAUUCAGCCACAUUCUCUUGGUGAAAGAUAAGGCUGGAGCGCAAUGGCGCGAUCUCGGCUCACCAGAAACAUCGCCACCCACGUUGAAGCAAUUCUCCUGCCUCACCCUUCCAGGUAGCUGGAAUUACGGGCACCCACCACCACACUCAGGACUGUGUGUCCCUGUACUGGAUGGAACUCAGGUGGACACUUGGCUCAACAUCCAUUGCUCUUCUCUAGAAAUUCAGCCCAAUUCUCUUGGUGGAAGAUAAGGACUGUGUGUCCCUGUGCUGGAACUCAGGUGAACGCUUGGCUCAACAUCCAUUGCUGUUCUCUAGAAAUUCAGCCACAUUCUCUUGGUGAAAGAUAAGCCUCUUAGAUUCCAUUUUGGAUGCUCCCGUCGUGACUGUGUGUGCCUCUGUACUGGAACUCAAGUGCACACUUGGUUCAGCAUCCGUUGCUGUUCUCUGGAAAUCCUGUCCAGCUCUCUUGGGUAAAGAUAAGAUUCCGUUUCGGAUGCUCCCGUCAGGACUGUGUGUGUCACUGGAAUGGAACUCAAGUGCCUACUUGGUUGGGUCAACAUCCGUUGCUAUUCUCUGGAACUUUUGCCCCAUUCUCUUGGGUAACGAUAAGGACUGUGUGUCCCUGUGCUGGAACUGAGGUGGACACUUGGCUCAACAUCCAUUGCUGUUCUCUAGAAAUUCAGCCCAAUUCUCUUGGUGGAAGAUAAGAUAAGGACUGUGUUGUGUUGCCCAGGCUGGAGUGUGAUGGUGCGAUCUCAGCUGACUGCAAUCCCCGCCUCUCGCCUCAGCCUUCUAAGUAGCUGUCUACAGAUUCCAUUUUGGAUGCUCCCAUCGGGGCUCUGUGUCGCCGUACUGGAACUCAAGUGCACACUGGGCUCAACAUUCUUCGCUGUUCUCUGGAAAUCCUGUCCAGCUCUCUUGGUUAAAGAUAAGAGAGAAUCUGGUGGUGACACCCAGGCUGGAGUGCAAUGGUGCGAUAUCGGCUCACGGCAGCCUCCCCUUCCCGGGUUCAAGUGAUUGUUUGACCUCAGCGUCCCGCAUAGCUGGGAUUACAGACGAGGUUUCACCAUGUUUCCCAGGCUGGUCUCAAACUCCUGACCUCAGGUGAUCCACCCGCCUUGGCCUCCCACAGUGCUGGAAUUACAGUGAUGAGUCACCGCACCCAGCCUUCUGUUCCAGUUUUAUUGAGGGGCUUCCGCUGCUUAGCCUGUGGUCUAGCCUGAAGAACGUGUGAACGACUGUGUGCAGCCUUCAACAUCUUAGAUUCCAUCGUGGAUGCUCCCACUGCAGUGUGUCCCUGUGCUGGAACUCAAGUCCUUGAGGAAUCACCACACUGUCUUCCACAAUGGUUGAACUAAUUUACACUCCCACCAGCAGUGUAAAAGUGUUUCUAUUUCUCCACAUCCUCUCCAGCAUCUGUUGUCUCCAGAUUUUUUAAUGAUCACCAUUCUAACUGGCAUGAGAUGGUAUCUCAAUGUAGUUUUGAUUUGCAUUUCUGUAAUGACCAGUGAUGAUGAGCAUUUUUUCAUGUUUGUAGGCCUCAUGUAUGUCUUCUUUUGUAAAGUGUCUGUUCAUAUCCUUUGCCCACUUUUGAAUGGGCUUGUUUUUUUCUUGUAAAUCUGAAAAACACAGAUUAUGUGGCACCUGGCAUGUCUGCUUCCAGAGACCUCAUGUGAUGGGGGUCCAAAUACUAGACCCCCAUCAAUGUACUUUAAUGUAUGCAAACCCUGCUUCCUUCAUUAAGAGACUAAGUGAUCUUCCACGUGUCUCCAGUCUGCCCUGUAAUCCCCAGUGGA